UACGUAGGGGGCAAGCGUUGUCCGGAAUCAUUGGGCGUAAAGAGCGUGUAGGCGGUUUGUCGCGUCGACUGUGAAAGCCCGGAGCUCAACUCCGGGUCUGCAGUCGAUACGGGCAGACUUGAGUGUUGCAGGGGAGACUGGAAUUCCUGGUGUAGCGGUGAAAUGCGCAGAUAUCAGGAGGAACACCGGUGGCGAAGGCGGGUCUCUGGGCCGAUACUGACACUGAGGAGCGAAAGCGUGGGGAGCGAACAGG
rnacentral:rRNA from 1 species